rnacentral:tRNA from 1 species
GCCCGGGUGAUGAAAUGGUAGACAUAAGACACUUAAAAUGUCUGGCGCAACGCGCGUGCGAGUUCGAGUCUCGCCCUGGGCA